GCUGGCAGACUAGGCAGCAAUAUUACCUGGUUAUGAGGCUUUAUGCAUAAUCCUGGAGCUAACCCAGAAGAAUGAACAGGCUGGCACACGAUCUUCACAGUCUGGGUACUAGAAUGAGAGAGAGAAUAAUACAGACACCCGAUGAGCUAUAAAUCAAGGCAACAGAAAUCUGCAGGAACUAUGGAGUUACCAUCAUCCACAGAAUAUUUAGAGAUUGUCCAGGAUACCAGAUACACUCUGAAAGUUCUGUGCCGCCUCUAAGUCUGGAAGCUUGGUCACUUUGUUAGACCUUUAUUACCUGAGUUUUUCAAUUAUGUUUGUAAGUCUGCUAAUGAAUUCCACACUUGAGAUGAAUCAAGUUCAAGCAUGACUCUUGAAAGUGCAUUUACAAACAGGUUUGGUCCAAAAUCUGUUGGUCAAUAAAUUUUGUUA